rnacentral:rRNA from 1 species
GAUGAACGCUGGCGGCGUGCCUAAUACAUGCAAGUCGAGCGAAUGGAUUAAGAGCUUGCUCUUAUGAAGUUAGCGGCGGACGGGUGAGUAACACGUGGGUAACCUGCCCAUAAGACUGGGAUAACUCCGGGAAACCGGGGCUAAUGCCGGAUAACAUUUUGAACCGCAUGGUUCGAAAUUGAAAGGCGGCUUCGGCUGUCACUUAUGGAUGGACCCGCGUCGCAUUAGCUAGUUGGAGAGGUAACGGCUCACCAAGGCAACGAUGUGUAGCCGACCUGAGGGGGUGAUGAGCCACACUGGGACUGAAGCACGGCCCAGACUCCUACGGGGGGCAGCAGUAGGGAAUCUUCCGCAAUGGACGAAAGUCUGACGGAGCAACGCCGCGUAGGUGACGAAGGCUUUCGGGUCGUAAAACUCUGUUGUUAGGGAAGAACAAGUGCUAGUUGAAUAAGCUGGCACCUUGACGGUACCUAACCAGAAAGCCACGGCUAACUACGUGCCAGCAGCCGCAGUAA